GUGCUAAGGUAGCAUAAUCAAUUGUCUCUUAAUUGGGGUCUAGAAUAAAGGGAUUAAUAACUCAUGAGCUCUAAAUUAUAUUGCGGAAAAAUUUAAAAUUUAAAUAAAAUUGUUUAAAUUAGAAAAUUGGACGAGAAGACCCUAAGAUUUUUAAACUUAGACAACUGAAUUAGUUGAAGUUUUUAAUUGGGGAAAUUAAGUAAAUAAACUUUCUUCUUUUUAACAGUUAAAGUGAAAAUAAGAAGUAUGAAAAAAAUAUUAAUCAUAAUUACCUUAGGGAUAACAGCGCAAUAAUGAAUAAGGGUACCUUUCUUUAAUUCAUGGUUGCGACCUCGAUGUUGAAUUAA
rnacentral:rRNA from 1 species